rnacentral:rRNA from 1 species
GUCCUUUUGUUAUGUUUAUAAGGUCUGGCCUGCCCAGUGAAUAUUUAUUUAACGGCCGCGGUAUAUUGACCGUGCAAAGGUAGCAUAAUCAUUAGUCUUUUAAUAGGAGGCUGGUAUGAAAGGUUUAACGAAAUAUAAUCUGUCUCAUUUAUAUUUUUAGAAUUUAACUUUUGAGUCAAAAGGCUCAAAUUUAAUUGGAGGACGAGAAGACCCUAUAGAGCUUUACAAUAACUUUUUUGAUAUUAUUUUGUUAAAUAAUUUUAUAUUAUUUUUAUUAUUGUUUUGUUGGGGUGACAAGAAAUAUAUAAUUAACUUUUAUUAUUUUAUAAACAUUAAUUUAUGAAAAAUUGAUCCAAUAAUAUUGAUCAUUAGAUUAAGUUACCUUAGGGAUAACAGCGUAAUCUUCUUUCAGAGUUCAAAUUUACAAGAAGGCUUGCGACCUCGAUGUUGGAUUAAGAUAAUAAUUAGGUGCAGUAGCUUAAUUAAUAGGUCUGUUCGACCUUUAAAUUCUUACAUGAUCUGAGUUCAAACCGG